rnacentral:lncRNA from 1 species
CAGCUUCAGGAGUAUUUGCAUGGCAUGAGGACACCUCCACUCUUUGCCCUCUAGUGUUAAACUCAGGCAUCUUUUCUGUAAUGUGAAAGGAAAGCGUGUUUUCAGCACAGGUGACAUUCUAAAAUUGGGUCUUCCCUGUGAAGAAGGUUCGUAUGAAACCAGAUAACUCUUUCAUGGCCACAGGUUUGUGUUGCUUCUACCAAAGCAGCAUUUCAGGGAAGUGCCUUCCCAGGGCCGGCCACUCACAGUGGACUUUUCACCUGCACUCACCUUCUUCCAAUUUGCAAAGCCCUGCCUCAUCACAUUUGAGAAGGCCUUGUACUUGAGUGACCAGGUACGAUUCAGAAGCCACUUUAAAAAACAAAGCAAAAGGCUCAGAGGUAACAGCCUCCAGUGAAUCUGAUCCAUGUGUAAGGAAAACAGGAUGCGUCCCUGGACCGGCUGGUAGCAAGAUUUAUGUUUCAGAAUAUUGCAACAUAACUUCCUUCCCUCUGUUGCCUUUGUGCAUUGUUUGAAGGAGGAGAAUAAAGGACUACUUUUGCAGCACA